GUGACGGUACCUGUAUAAGAAGCACCGGCUAACUACGUGCCAGCAGCCGCGGUAAUACGUAGGGUGCGAGCGUUGUCCGGAAUUACUGGGCGUAAAGAGCUCGUAGGUGGUUUGUCGCGUCGUCUGUGAAAUUCCGGGGCUUAACUUCGGGCGUGCAGGCGAUACGGGCAUAACUUGAGUGCUGUAGGGGAGACUGGAAUUCCUGGUGUAGCGGUGAAAUGCGCAGAUAUCAGGAGGAACACCGAUGGCGAAGGCAGGUCUCUGGGCAGUUACUGACGCUGAGGAGCGAAAGCAUGGGUAGCAAACAGGAUUAGAUACCCUGGUAGUCCAUGCCGUAAACGGUGGGCGCUAGGUGUAGGGGGCUUCCACGUCUUCUGUGCCGUAGCUAACGCAUUAAGCGCCCCGCCUGGGGAGUACGGCCGCAAGGCUAAAACUCAAAGGAAUUGACGGGGGCCCGCACAAGCGGCGGAGCAUGUGGAUUAAUUCGAUGCAACGCGAAGAACCUUACCUGGGCUUGACAUACACUAGAUUGCUGCAGAGAUGUAGUGUCCCUUGUGGCUGGUGUACAGGUGGUGCAUGGUUGUCGUCAGCUCGUGUCGUGAGAUGUUGGGUUAAGUCCCGCAACGAGCGCAACCCUUGUCUUAUGUUGCCAGCAUUUGGUUGGGGACUCAUGAGAGACUGCCGGGGUUAACUCGGAGGAAGGUGGGGAUGACGUCAAAUCAUCAUGCCCCUUAUGUCCAGGGCUUCACACAUGCUACAAUGGUCGGUACAACGCGCAGCGACACUGUGAGGUGGAGCGAAUCGCUGAAAGCCGGCCUUAGUUCGGAUUGGGGUCUGCAACUCGACCCCAUGAAGUCGGAGUCGCUAGUAAUCGCAGAUCAGCAACGCUGCGGUGAAUACGUUCCCGGGCCUUGUACACACCGCCCGUCACGUCAUGAAAGUUGGUAACACCCGAAGCCAGUGGCCUAAACUUGUUAGGGAGCUGUCGAAGGUGGGAUCGGCGAUUGGGACGAAGUCGUAACAAGGUACCCGUACCGGAAGGUGCGGGUGGAUCACCUCCUUUCUAAGGAG
rnacentral:rRNA from 4 species